rnacentral:rRNA from 1 species
GAUGAACGCUGGCGGCGUGCCUAAUACAUGCAAGUCGAGCGAACAGACCAGGAGCUUGCUCCUCUCUCGUUAGCGGCGCACGGGUGAGUAACACGUGGAUCACCCACCUAUCAGACUGGGAUAACCUCGGGACACCGGAGCUAAUACCGGAUAAUAUCUUGAACCGCAUGGUUCAUUAGUGAAAGACGGUUUUGCUGUCUCUUAUAGAUGCAUCUGCGCCGUAUUAGCUAGUUGGUAGGUUAACGGCUUUCCAGGGCAACGAUGCGUAGCCGAACUGAGAGGGGGGUCGGCCGCACUGGAGCUGAAACACGGUCCAGGCUCCUACGAGAGGCAGCAGUAGGGAAUGUUCCGCAGUGGGCGGAAGCAUGACGCAGCAAGGGCGCGUGUGUGAUGAAGAUCUUCGGAUCGUGAAAAUCUGUUAUUAGGGGAGAACAAAUUUGUAAGUAACUAUGGACGUCUUGACGGUACCUGGUCAGAAAGCCACGGCUAACUACGUG